CAAAACAAUGAAAAGGAGCUAAGAAAUAUGAAACAUACAUGUCUGCUCUUGCACAAGGGCACAGGACUCUCCCGUCCCACGAGGCAGGCUUGCACUGCAUGGGAGGUGUUCUUAGAGGACGUGUGGGCUUGGAAAUCUCUCUUCGCCAGUCCUCACCUACAGGAGCCUGUGUGCACCUUGGAGAAUCCUCGUCACCAUGAGAGGGAGGAGGGGAGCUAACCUACCAGUGGGCUGACCUGGACAUCUGGGAUAAUACUCCCCUCUGCCUCCUACUCCAUAUACAACUGGUGGAAUCAACCCAGGGCUCGAAGUACU